UAAAUGAUUGAAGACAUUGAAGUCUUUGAAAUGUAAAUGAAGACAUUGCAGUCUUUGAAAGUGUAAAUGAUUGAAGACAUUGAAGCUUUUGAAAUGUAAAUGAAGAUAUUGUAGUCUUUAAAAUUGUAAAUGACUGAAGACAUUGAAGUGUUUGAAAUAUAAAUGAAGGCAUUGUAGUCUUUCGAAAGCGUAAAUGGCUGAAGACAUUGAAGUCUUUCAAAUGUAAAUGAAGACAUUGUAGUCUUUUGAAAGCAUAAAUGACUGAAGACAUUGAAGUCUUUGAAAUGUAAAUGAAGACAUUGUAGCCUUCUAAAAGGGUAAAUGACUGAAGACAUUGAAGUCUUUCAAAUGUAAUUGAAGACAUAAUAGUCUUUUGAAAGUGUAAAUGACUGAAGACAUUUAAGUCUUUGAAAUGUAAAUGGCAGAGGACUGAGUCCUAUGAAAGCAUAAAGAUAGAGGACUUUAAGUCCUAUGAAAGAUAAAGGCGAGGGCUUUGAGUCCUAUGAAAGAUAAAGGUGAGGACUUUGAGUCCUAUGAAAGAUAAAAGUGAAGACUUUGCGUGCUAUGAAAGAAGCCAAUAGGCACUAGUACCAAAGGGCUCAACCUUAUGAGAAAGCAAGAGGUUGACUCUUUGAGAGGACCUCUCAUCCUAAACUCAAAAGAUAGGACAUUAGAUUUGGGAAAUUGGUAUAUAAAGAGAAAUCUAUGCACUUAUAGCCUAAUAUGAACAUGAUUUUUGGGAUGCAGAUGCAUGCAACCUUCAUCUUGAAAUGCAGUAAAUGUAGGCUUUGCAAAAGGUUUUGAAUCAUGAAAAUUGUGUAAUGCUCAUGACAUUCUUUCCUAUUUUUUUUAUUUUGAUUUGAUUUUUAUUUUUGCUUUUUUUGUGGAAAACACAGAUUGACUGUCUCUUUCUGAAAGUGUGAUAACUCAUGAGACCUCAUCUUAUCUUUUUGCAAAUCUCUUCGGGGACUCCCUCGGAGUGUAUAUUUUGUUUGAUUUAGUCACUUGACAAUUUUGGAGGACGACAGUGGAGCCGUUUGACAUUUAAAAAAUCAAUUAAAAUAUUGAUUCUAGGGUUCAUCCCUUUCUUUUUAAAAGCUUUGAUUAUUCUGCACAGUAUGAAAACAUAAGGCUUUGGGAUCAAUCGUGCACCCCAUUGAAGGAUGGUAAUGGAUUGUCACACUUUGGUAUGUGACCAAGUGAAACUUUCCCUUUUUAAGAUCGUAGAGUGAAGCCAAGGGUCUAUCGAUCCCUCUAAAACUUGAUGACAUGGGUUGAUUCCAAAAGAAUUUAUAUAACAAAGGCCACCCUUGGAUUCAAAAGGAAUCCUAAGGAGUCUCCAUGAGAGACUCACAUCAAAUGUACCCUACUAUCAGAAUUGUAUUUGGGCAUUUUCCAUGAGCUCUUGGUCGAACGAGUUUUCUUCUCAAAUGUGCAAGUGUGAAACCUCGAGGAUUCUCUUUUUCUUUAUAUAAAUUUUUUCAACAAUCACAAGUGUGUGCGAAUUCCAUUCUAGAAUCCAAACUUAAAAGCAAAAUUAGUAAUUCCUUGAUCCACAUGCGCUUUAUUGGGCAUGUAACGAAUCAACAAUCACAAGCGUGUGCGAGUUUUAUUCCAGAAUCCUAACUUAAAAACAAACCAUUUUAAGAGUAUCAAUACUUGUAUAACCAGAAUUGGACGUAGUUUUGUGAAUGCUUUUGUUCAAUUCCUUUUUAGUUUCUAAUUUUCCUUUAGGUUUUUGCCCCUUUCUUCUCUGUUCAUUGUUCAGUCUGCUAUGUAAUUCAGGGUGACGAGGUGUGGGACUAUGGGGUUUGGAUUUCGGAUUUGAUGGGAGAAAUGGGUUUGGAUUCACAUUUCGAAUCUGCUCAUGGAGACGUCAUCAUUGCAAUUGUGGAGGGCAGCGCGUGCCCUUUGCGUGCCUCGGCACCUGCGCGCUCCUAGCGUCGGCCUCUAGGCUCUCCAUUCGUCCCGUCAUGAAACACGGACCAAGGAGUCUGACAUGUGUGCAAGUCAACAGGCGAGUAAACCUAUAAGGUGCAAGGAGCUUAUUGGUGGGAUCCCCCUUUGGGUUGCACCACCGGCCGACCCUGAUCUUCUGUGAAUGGUUUAAGUGAGAGCAUACCUAUUGGGACUCGAAAGAUGGUGAACUAUGCCUGAGCGGGACAAAGCCAGAUGAAACUCUAGUGGAGGCCUGCAGUGAUACUAACGUGCAAAUCGUUUGUCUGACUUGGGUAUAGGGGCAAAAGACUAAUUGAACCGUCUAGUAGCUGGUUCCCUUCGAUGUUUCCCUUUGAAUAGUUGGAGCCCAUGGGCGAGUUCUAUUGGGUAAAGCCAAUGAUUAGAGGCAUCGGGGGCACAACGCCCUUGACCUAUUCUCAAAAUUUAAAUAGGUAGGACGGCAUAGCUGCUCUGUUGAGCCACGCCAUUGAAUCAAGAGCUCUAAGUGGGCCAUUUUUGGUAAGCAGAAUUCGCGAUGCGGAAUGAACCAAAAGCUAGGUUGCGGCGCCCAAGUGUGCGCUAACCUAGAACCCACAAAGGGUGUUGGUCGAUUAAGACAGUAGGACAGUGGUCAUGGAAGUUGAGUGUGUAACAACUCACCUGUCGAAUCAACUAGCCACAAAAAUGGAUGGCGCUAAAGCGCGCGACCUAUACCCGACUGUUGGGGCAAGGACCAAGCCCCAAUGAGUAGGAAGGUGCGGUGGUCACUGCAAAGCCCAAGGUGUAAGCUCAGGCGGAGUGCCCGUCAAUGCAAAUCUUGGUGUUAGUAGAAAAUAUUCAAAUGAGAACUUUGAAGGCUGCAAAGGGGAAAGGUUCCAUGUGAGCGACACUUGCAUAUGGGUUAGUCGAUCCUAAGGAAUAGGGGAAGCCUGUCUGAUAGCGCUCUGUGCAUGUACUCCGAAAGGGUAUUAGGUUAAAAUUCCUGAAUCGGGAUAUGGCGGCUAAUGGCAAUGUUAGGGAGUCCAAAGACGUUGACAGGGGCCCUGGAAAGAGUUAUCUUUUCUAUUUAACAGCCUGCCCACCCUAGAAAUGACUCAACCAGAGGUAGGGUCCAAUGGCUGGAAGAGCACUGCACAUUGCAUGGUGUCCGGUGUGCCCCCGAUAGCCCUUGAAAAUCCGGAGGACUGAGUGCCUCCCAUGCCCGGUCGUACUCAUAAGGACAUCAGGUCUCCAAGGUGAACAGCCUCUGGUCAAUGGAAAAAUAUAGGCAAGGGAAGUCAGAAAAAUGGUUCCACAACCUCGAGAAAAGGAUUGGCUCUGAAGGCUAGGCACGAGGGUCCCAGUCCUGAACCCGUCGGCUAUCAGUGGACUACUUGAGCUACUUCCGCGGUGAGAGUGGGUUGUCGCGUCUCGUUCGGGGGAUGAAUUGGGAACGGGCCCUUCGGGGCCUCUUCCUCGGGCAUCAAACAGUCAACUCAAAAUUGGUACAAACAAGGGGAAUUCGAUUGUUUAAUUAAAACAAAGCAUUGCGAUGGUCCCUACAGAUGUUGACGCAAUGUGAUUUAUGCCCAGUGCUCUGAAUGUCAAAGUGAAGAAAUACAACCAAGCGCGGGUAAAUGGAAGGAGUAACUAUGACUCUCUUAAGGCAGCCAAAUGCCUCGUCAUCUAAUUAAUGACACGCAUUGUAAUGACCCACCUCGUCGCUACGAUAUCACCACUCUAAACCGCAAUAAUUUCAAUUGU
rfam:Glycine soja cultivar W05 scaffold1312_17, whole genome shotgun sequence.